rnacentral:rRNA from 1 species
CAGGGAUUGCCUCAGUAACGGCGAGUGAAGCGGCAAAAGCUCAAAUUUGAAAUCUAGCACUUUCAGUGUUCGAGUUGUAAUUUGAAGAAGGUAACUUUGGUUUUGGCUCUUGUCUAUGUUCCUUGGAACAGGACGUCACAGAGGGUGAGAAUCCCGUGCGAUGAGAUGCCCAAUUCCAUGUAAAGUGCUUUCGAAGAGUCGAGUUGUUUGGGAAUGCAGCUCUAAGUGGGUGGUAAAUUCCAUCUAAAGCUAAAUAUUGGCGAGAGACCGAUAGCGAACAAGUACAGUGAUGGAAAGAUGAAAAGAACUUUGAAAAGAGAGUGAAAAAGUACGUGAAAUUGUUGAAAGGGAAGGGCUUGAGAUCAGACUUGGUAUUUUGCGUUCCCUUCCUUUUUGGUUGGGUUCCUCGCAGUUUACUGGGCCAGCAUCGGUUUGGAUGGUAGGAUAAUGACAUUGGAAUGUAGCUUUACUUCGGUGAAGUGUUAUAGACUUUGUUGAUACUGCCUAUCUAGACCGAGGACUGCGUCUUUGACUAGGAUGCUGGCGUAAUGAUCUUAAGCCGCCCGUCUUGAAACACGGACCA